ensembl:lncRNA
GGCGGCCCUGGAUCCCUGCAGAGGAAUGAAUGAUGGGAGAAAGCAAACCAGCUCUGCCCAGCCGGGUCCCGGUCCAGCCCCACCGUGGGGGUACACUUCCUGGCCUGUUCUACCCUGGUGUCUUCACCGGAAGGGCCCUCUUUUGUGCCAUGUGUCCACGUGUGGGGUUUGUACCCUAACCCUGAUGUGUACCGAGGGGUGGGGUGGGGGUGGGGGACAGGUGGUGCCGCUGGCUGUGGGCUCCCGCAGUCCCACAUCACACAGGGAACUGGAUUGGGCUCUUGAGGGGGAGGCGGGGUGGGCGACGUGCACCCAGAGUAUUAACUUCCCGAGAGGUCAGUGUGCCAAUAUCCCAGGGCAGGCCUGGCCCCGCAGUGCCAAACCUCCCCAUCCGGCCCACUGGCACCCCACCAACUUGGCCCCACCUCCGCGCCGGGAGAAUGGGGUGGCAGGUUUCAGGCCCUCCUCGCCCCCAGUAUGAACUUCACCUCUGCGGCGCAUCCUUGAGUGCCAGCCCCCACCCCCAUGUCACAUCACCCAGCAGAACUGCCCUCCGAGUGCCAACGCCCCAGUGGCGUGAGGAGCCCUGCAGCCGGCGGGGGCAACUUCACCUGCUUGUAUAUUAAACAAUCCUGAUUUCAGACAAUUUAAAUCUUAAUCUAUUUAAAAAAGAAUAUUAUAUAAAGAUGCUGUUUUUAAACCUUUUGUCAUUUGAGAUGCAUGUAUCUUCCGUGCGGGCUGAGGGGCGGGUGGUCAGCUCAGUGCCGGCCUCUGGGGGCUGCUGGAGCCGCCCAUGUUCAGGCAGUGCGUCCGCAUUGGGGCCCACACCCCUUAAUCCAGAGAAAGCUGGUGGAAAUUGACUUUUCAUACCUUUCUCCUGAAAUGAAUUCUGUUUUAAAUUGGAAUAAAUUUUGUUCCUAAACACGUGGCCCCCCUCUGGCUUAUUUUCUGUUGCUGGCUGGGGGCGGGGUGCGGGGAGGUACAGCAGAGGAACCCUGAGGCCCCCGGAGUGUCACUGGAUUCCCGUGCGGCUGGGAGGGGUCUUGUCACCUUCAGGUUGGGGUCUCAGCUCGGGAACCACAGCCCGGCUGCCUGGGGUGUGCCUCCUUCCCUGGGCCCAGCUGGCCAUUCACUGUCACGGAUGCUCUUGGAAGUAUGUGCCCCUCCCCUAACCCAGUUGAGUAAACCAAGAUGUUGGGCCAGUAAUCUUCCCAUCUCUCAGUCUUUUUUGCUUUAAAAAAUUUUAAAAUACAUAUAUUGUGGUAAAUACACAUAUAACUUACCAUCUUUACAAUUUUUAAAAUCAGAUUUUAUUUGUGUUCCAAUGGGUCAUUAGCAAUAGGUCAUGUUAUGAGAUCAGGUCGUGCAUGCAUGCCUAGUGUGCUUGACUCUGCAAGCCUAUGGACUAUAGCCCACCAGGCUCCUCUGUCCAUGGGAUUUUCCAGGCAAGAAUACAGGAGUGGGUUGCCAUUUCCUCCUUUAGGGGAUCUUCCCGACCCAAGGAUUGAACCUGCAUCUCCUGUAUUGGCAGGCAGAUUCUUUACUACCAAGCUACCUGGGAAGCCUCUCUUCACCAUUUUUAAAUGUGCAAUUCAGUGACAUUAAUUUCAUUCAUAAUGUUGUGCAACUAGCAGCACUAACGGUCUCCAAAACCUUUUUAUCACUUCAAACAGAAACUCCUUUCUUGUUAAGCAAUAACUCCCCACCUCUUCCCCAGCCCCCGCCACCGUAUUUUCUAUGGAGUCUAUAGGGAUCUCCUGUGAGUGGAAUUGGAGUUUGUCCUUCUGUGUGUAGCUUCUCUCACUGCACAUCAUGUCCUCCAGGUUCAUCCAUGGUGUAGCAGGUGUCAGAACCUCCUUCCUCUUUAAGGCUGAGUCAUUCCAAUGGUGGGCCACACCGUGUUUAUCCAUCAUCUGUCUGUUGGUGGACACUAGGCAUAUUCCGCCUCUGACUGCCAUGAAUCAUGCCUCUGUGAACACCAGUGUGCAGGUGCCUCUUUGAGACGGCUUUCCAUCUUACUGGGUGUAAAGAGAAGUGGAACUGCUGGGUCACACCGUGAUGCUAGUCAACCAUUUGAGGAACCACCAGACUGUUUCCACAGCAGCUACCUUAUUUUCAUGUUCCCACCAGCCGUUCACCCGAUUCCCACUUCUCCACAUCGUCCUCCAGUUUUAUUUACUCACUCAUCAGCGGAAUGGAAAUGCCUAGAAGACCUGUGUGUGCCAGGCACUGUCCUGGGCACUGUGUAUACAGGGAGGAGAAGAGUGUUUAUCACCACGACUCACUCUGUGAACUGACAGCCAGGAAAAGAGGCAUGGGGAGCAACAGGGGCCACUUCAGACAGGCUGUUCAGGAAAGGCCUUUCUGAGAAGGUGGCAUAUGAAUAAUAUGCUGGGAGAUGUGAAGGGAUCUGUGUUUGUGCUUAGUUGCUCAGUGUGUCCAACUCUGCGAGUCCAUGGACUGUAACCCGCUAGUCUUCUCUGUCCAUGGGAAUUCUCCAGGCAAGAAUACUGGAGUGGGAUGCAUGUCCUUCUUCAGGGGAACUUCCUGACUCAGGAAUCAAACCGGGGUCUCCUGCAUUGCAGGCGGAUUCUUUACCAGCCGAGCUACCUGGGAAGUCCCAGUGAAGGACUUUCCAGGCAAAAGGCACAGCCCAGUGCAAAGGCCCUGGGGCAGGACUGUGCCUGACUGCUGGAAGAACAGCGAGGAGGCCUGCUUGCAGCAGAGUAAGGAGGGAAACAGAAGGAGGAAGGGAAGGCAGGGAGGGCACAGGCAGCUCGUGCAGGGGCUCGUGGGCCAAGGGAGGAACUGGGCUCUUACCCCGAGGGAGGUGGGACCCUGGAGGGCUGCGGGCAGAGGAGGGGAGGGGCCUGAUUUAGUGCUCAGGCGCGCCCUCUGGUGGCUAUUGCUCGGAGGAGAGACUGAGGGGAUGAGGGCGGAACCCGGCACUUGGAUGGAGGGGACCUGUCUAGACCAGGCAGGACAUGAUGGAGGCAGAGGAAAGGAGUGGGAUUUGGGACGUGGGGGCCGAGAGGGGGCCCGCAGACGCUGCCGGCGCACCUGGCUGUCAUGCCUUCCUCCGCCGGCAGGUGCCGCUCGCCGGCUUUCCGCGCCUGCCAGUCCGCCACCUGCGGGCUCCAACGCGCACCUGCGGGGAAUGUCCUCUCCACAUCCCCGUUCCAACAGGGAAACUGAGCAGCUGGGCCCUUGCCCUGACGGCAGGCGGUGCCCCCGGGCCCGGGCACUAGCAAAGUGAAAACGCAGGGUCCUUACAAAACCAGGAGGCUUUCAAGACGGAAAACCUUUGGACCACCCACCUACGCAGGUGGCCAGGGAGGGGUUCCGGGUGCUUUCUUCUUUUGGCUGUGGUGAAUCCUGCUGCGGUGGACUUGGGUAAGAAGGACCUGGUGCAGACCCUGCUCUGGAUACAUCGCAGAAGUGGAAUCAAAUCUGUGAUUCAUCAGCUAAUAAAGGAGAGGGCGGGCUUUGUAGCCCAGGCUUGGGAUAACCCUGGUUGGGGGUGUGUGUGGCCAACGCAAUGGCCAGGGAGGGACCCUGCUGUGGUCUCUCAUCAUCUGAGGAGCGCCAGGUACUUUGAAGCUAUGUGAACAUCCUCAUUAAACAAAAAGGACUUAUUUUUAAGAUGUUUUUAAUAAAGAAUCUUCAUAGGAUUUGUUACAAUACUGCUUCUGUUUUUUGUUUUUUGGCCAGGAGGCACAUAGGAUCUUAGCUCCCCGGCCAAGGAUCAAACCUGCACCCCCUCCACUGGAACGCAAAAUCUUGACUACUGGACUUCUAGAGGACAUUUUUAAUAUUAAACGAACAGCACUUGAAGGGAGUGGUUUGUUUCUAAAGAAAGGAGAGACUAUGCAUUUAUAGCAUUCAGUUCAGUUCAGUUCAGUUGCUCAAUCGUGUCCGACUCUUUGCGACCCCAUGAAUUGCAGCACGCCAGGCCUCCCUGUCCAUCACCAACUCGUAGAGUUCACUCAAAC